CCUACGGGAGGCUGCAGUGGGGAAUAUUGGGCAAUGGGCGCAAGCCUGACCCAGCAACGCCGCGUGAAGGAAGAAGGCUUUCGGGUUGUAAACUUCUUUUCUGAGGGACGAAGAAAGUGACGGUACCUCAGGAAUAAGCCACGGCUAACUACGUGCCAGCAGCCGCGGUAAUACGUAGGUGGCAAGCGUUAUCCGGAUUGAUUGGGUGUAAAGGGCGUGUAGGCGGGAAAGCAAGUCAGAUGUGAAAACUCAGGGUCCAACCCUGAGCCUGCAUUUGAAACUGUUUUUCUUGAGUGCUGGAGAGGCAAGCGGAAUGCCUGGUGUAGCGGUGAAAUGCGUAGAUAUACGGAGGAACACCAGUGGCGAAGGCGGAUUACUGGACAGUAACUGACGCUGAGGCGCGAAAGCGUGGGGAGCAAACAGGAUUAGAUACCCGGGUAGUC
rnacentral:rRNA from 1 species